rnacentral:rRNA from 1 species
GGCUCAGGACGAACGCUGGCGGCGUGCCUAAUACAUGCAAGUCGAGCGGACAGAAGGGAGCUUGCUCCCGGAUGUUAGCGGCGGACGGGUGAGUAACACGUGGGUAACCUGCCUGUAAGACUGGGAUAACUCCGGGAAACCGGAGCUAAUACCGGAUAGUUCCUUGAACCGCAUGGUUCAAGGAUGAAAGACGGUUUCGGCUGUCACUUACAGAUGGACCCGCGGCGCAUUAGCUAGUUGGUGGGGUAAUGGCUCACCAAGGCGACGAUGCGUAGCCGACCUGAGAGGGUGAUCGGCCACACUGGGACUGAGACACGGCCCAGACUCCUACGGGAGGCAGCAGUAGGGAAUCUUCCGCAAUGGACGAAAGUCUGACGGAGCAACGCCGCGUGAGUGAUGAAGGUUUUCGGAUCGUAAAGCUCUGUUGUUAGGGAAGAACAAGUGCGAGAGU